rnacentral:rRNA from 1 species
CCUACGGGAGGCAGCAGUAGGGAAUCUUUCACAAUGGGCGAAAGCCUGAUGGAGCAACGCCGCGUGCAGGAUGACGGCCUUCGGGUUGUAAACUGCUUUUAUAAGCGAGAAAUAUGAUGGUAACUUAUGAAUAAGGAUCGGCUAACUACGUGCCAGCAGCCGCGGUCAUACGUAGGAUCCGAGCAUUAUCCGGAGUGACUGGGUGUAAAGAGUUGCGUAGGUGGCAUAAUAAGUAGCUAGUGAAAUCUGGUGGCUCAACCAUUCAGACUAUUAGCUAAACUGUUAAGCUCGAGACCGUUAGGGGUAACUGGAAUUUCUAGUGUAGGAGUGAAAUCCGUAGAUAUUAGAAGGAACACCAAUAGCGUAGGCAGGUUGCUGGGACGGUUCUGACACUAAGGCACGAAAGCGUAGGGAGCAAACGGGAUUAGAUACCCCAGUAGUC